GCCCAGCUGACGAGUCCAAAACAGGACGGAACGCGAGUUCUGUAU
rnacentral:hammerhead_ribozyme from 1 species